UACGAAGGGGGCUAGCGUUGUUCGGAUUUACUGGGCGUAAAGCGCACGUAGGCGGUUUGUUAAGUCAGGGGUGAAAUCCCACAGCUCAACUGUGGAACUGCCUUUGAUACUGGCAGCUAGAGUCCGGAAGAGGUAAGUGGAACUCCUAGUGUAGAGGUGGAAUUCGUAGAUAUUAGGAAGAACACCAGUGGCGAAGGCGGCUUACUGGUCCGGAACUGACGCUGAGGUGCGAAAGCGUGGGGAGCAAACAGG
rnacentral:rRNA from 1 species